rnacentral:tRNA from 1 species
GGUAGGUUGGCCGAGUGGUUAAGGCGGUGGACUUAACUUCUCCUGGAGUCAGUCUCUGAGUGGGUUCGAACUCCAUACCUAUCA